rnacentral:lncRNA from 1 species
AUUUGCUGCGUCAAGAUUUGUCUAAGAUGGGGAUUGAUAUAUCAACAGAUGAACGCUAUACAAGUCAUCAGUCGGGGCUUAAAGAAGAAAACACAUCUUGAUUUCUUGGUCCCCUCGUGAAGUUAAAAUUUUCUUCAAUUUUUUUUCAUUUACUUUUCUAAAAAAAAUUAUUUUCUCACAUCUUGAUUUCUUGGUCCACUCAUAAAGUUAAAAUUUUCUUCAAUUCUUCUUCAUUUACUUUUUUUAAUUUUAUUUUCUGUGAUAUCUUGUUGCUGGGAAAUUGAGAAUGUUUGAAGAGUUGAGAAUUUCUUCACCCGGAUUGAAAAAAAAAAUGAAAAGGAAG